CCUUUGGAGUGCUGCACAAACGCUAGUAGCUUGCCCCUUUGGGACAGCGAGAGCGAGCAUGAUGAACAAGGUA
ncrna:unclassified sequences RAGATH-18 RNA